AUUUUCGUUUUGGCUUUUGUGGCCCCAAAUUUGGAUUUGCGUCCCAUUCAAUUUCGGUGUUCCCAUUCAUUUUGCAUGAGGAGUUGUAGUGAUGGGUUGAUAUGGAUGGAGUUUUCCCGGUCGGUGUGGAUUGUUGUUCGGUGGUCCGCUUGGUUUCCGGCGACUUUAAGUGUUUUUGGCGAAAAAAGGUUUUCGGCUGUGCUCCGGAUAAUGCAGAAUAGAGACCGGUAACAGAGACAUGCCCCAAGUUAAUCAUAUGAAAGGCAUGGGUCACGAUGUCCCUGCUGGUUAUAUUAGUCACUUGAUCUUCCAAUAUAACGUGAACAAGUUUAAUGAAUUUAAUUUUUAAAUAUAAUUAUGAUCCAUGUGUUGGACCUUUAGAGAGGACAGAAUGAUGGACAAACAUAUAGAAUAAAUGUUAGCACAAAGUAGCAUAUUUGUAGGAACAACGACUUCAAAAUACUUUAAUGAUCUUUAGAGUCAAAGAAUAUCGCUUGCCGUUGCGGAAGUGAUUUUGACAUAGUAGAUUGUUUAGAUCUUCAUAAAAUAAAAGCAUCACCUAAGAACAUUGCAUGUUUUUGCUUUCUUGAGUCCAGACAAUUAACCCAAUCCACAUCAGAAUAUGUUGUCAUAUUGAAAAAAAGAAAGUCCCUAAGUUUCUUUGAGAUAUCGUAACAAAUAAUAUACAAUAUUUAAAUGAUAAAUUUUUGAAAUUUGCAUGUAUUGACUUAGUUUAUGGACAGAAGACAAAAUUCCAGGUUUGAAGAUAUGAUGAAGUGGAAUAGUGUACCUGCUCCGUUAGUCUUUUGUAUAAUGAUGGAUCUGGUGAUAACAGUGUACACCCAUUGACAAACAUGCAGGUUCGUUAGUUUGCUGACCAAAAAGGAAUAAUCAUUGAAAGAUUGAUAGGAUUAGGGGAGAAGAUAAUAAAAAUCUUGGUUAUUUAUUUCUCCCGUAUUAAUGGGAGAAAAAUAUAUAUUCCACACUGUAAUUAAUAAGAAAAAGAAAAACUAAUCUACCUAAGAUUUAAACAAGAUCAUCAAGCUAAUAAAAUCACACAUUCUCCUUCACGAAAUCCUCUAUAAUCAUGAUGAUUUCACCAAUUUAUACAAAAUAAUCUAAACGUAUUU